AGGUGACAAGGACAUGCAUUUGAAGGGUAGCUCUCCAGCAUAGAGAAGUAUAGGAAUUCCUGGCUUUUUAUCCCAUGCUCCUAAAGUAGUUGUUAUUUUUUUGUCUGCAGGCAAGUGUGGCUUUUCCAAACAAGACUCUGGCCCUGAAGCUCAAGAGCAUCAAAGAGACCUCAUCCUACCCCCCACCCGCUCCAGACUCACAAUCCAAAUGCAAAGCACAGAGGACAUUCUUAGGUCUCAAUCCCCAGAGGCAACACCAGGACCGGGUGCGCUAAAUUAACCUGGAAGGACCACAGGAAAGAGAUUAGACAAAUCAGAGAUGAGACAUGACCUGACAUAUUCAUUAUUUUCAGUCUUGACCCAGAGGGCUGUAAACAUAGGAGAAGCUGGUCCCCAAGCCUUGGACUUGGUUGCAAUGGACAGUGAGAGUCCCAGGUGUUAAAAAACAAAAACAAAAACAAAACGGACUCUUUUGCUACAAAGAUCUCAAAAGCCCCGCCCCCUCGUGGACCUGUAAACAGACUGCCGCAAGACAAUGCAGGUGCCAGACUAGUCUCCAUCCCUAGUGACAGAUGCUCUUUCAAGGAAGGCCUGGCUCACUUGCACUUCAAGGGUCUUGAGGAGACACGGAGCCUGUGGAGUUAACAAGUGGUUCAGACGAUUCCUGAGUGAAGCCUUUCGAUGCACGGGGAUUUAGCUCAACCAGGUCCCAAGAAAACAGUUUAGAGAGCUGACAGCAAGUAGUUUCCUGUGACCUCUCGCUAUGGCCGUGCACCAGCUUCUCACAUGGGAAUCUGGACCAGGGAGACAUGAUGCUCCGUGGUGAGAGGCGUUGCUUUCGUCCUUUGGCUCACGAUGACCAGGGCUGGGGUGGAAGAGCUGAUGGGAUUUGCUGUCCACCCAACUGAAUAGGCUUCACUGGGACACACUGAGCGCCCUCCUUCAGCCAACAAUAUUGUACUGGCGGACUUCUUUUCAACUCUGAUUCCCAAUGUGCAAAUGUUAGGAGACAGCUGCCCGAGUCCAGCCAUCUCAGGUGGCAGUUCUUGUUUGUGGAGACUCCGCAGCAGCUGAGUGGCUGGACCGGGAAGUGGAAGCCUCUGUAAUGUAGCUCCAACAGCAAUGGUGGACACCAUCAUGGUUACCUGCACGGCACAGGUGGUUACAGAGCAGCACAGGACAUAUCUCUGCUGUCAACACCUCAUGUAUACACUGUGGCCCCAGAGUAGUAACUUUACACAGUGCUGAGAUAAAACCCGGGCAAGCACAAUGGGAGGGAGGGAGGGUUU